AUGAGCAGCAAUGUGUCUGGUAGCCCUGCAAAUGGUUCUCAUAUUUGGAAACUUCUAUGGAAGUUGCAUGCUCUUAUCACAUGUGACAAUGCUAGAUUACUUUGGGACACAGCCAAUGAAUAUUUUGACCUUAAGGUCCCAAAGCCACAGCCUAUAACUUGGUUGAGAUAUAUUUUAGGCCUGUCUUAUAUCAGCAAGAAGAUGAGUGUUGUUGCGGUUUCAGUAAUGUGGGAAAUUUGGAGCAUUAUAAAUAAAUACACACAUGAGGAAGUCAAGUUUGAGCCACUAAAAUCGAUGCAAUUAGUAGAUGAACAUCUUGCUGCUCUAAACAUCCCAGACCAGGGGCAACAAGGGAUUAUAGGACAUGUUGAGAGAUGGAAACAACCUGAGAAUUGGUGGUUCCAAAUUAACUCUGAUGAUGGGGUUAGCAUGGUGCAGAGGUGUCCGGAGUGGCUGCAGUUGUUAGAGAUCAUUCUGGAGUACCAAUGGAGCUGCUCAUACAUGUUCCAAGGAGGCACUAGACCUUUUUACUUCAUGUUUCUUUUGAUCGUCUUCCUCCCUCCCUCCCUCCCUCCCUCCCUCCCACGACCACGCCUUCCUCCCUCCAUCCCUCGAUGGAGGUCCCAGAUCGAGUCAGAGAAGGUCCGGCGGUGGCCAGAUCCGCCACCACCACAGCGGGCCUUUUGGAUCCACACCGUCAUCGAGCUGGAUCCACGCCUCAUCGCGCGGCCUCGUCUGCCUUUGCGGCUGCGCCACGGGAUUCUACUACGUCGCCCAGUCCAGCGUCGCCGCACGGGACGCGCCUUCUCCAUCGGCCACGUCCUCUGCUACACCUCGGAGAUGGGCUACGUCAACCUCAUCCCCGCGCCCCAGGAGGUCGAGGACCGCAAGGACCGGGAGAUCGAUAAGAUGGAGGGAAACUUUAGCGUCGCCUACGUCAAUCGACGAGAUGGAGAUCGGCUGCACCACGGCAGCGACGGGCCGACGCUAGUGGACUGGGAGCGCAGGUGGCCGAUGCUAGUGGACCGGGAGCCAAGGGCCUGACAUACCUGCACGAGGACUGUAAGUCGUUGGAUGUCUCUAUUGAUUUUGAUGUGAACUUGUAUGACUGAUUGACGAUGCACUGUUGCACUGCAUAACUGGUCCAACGUCUUCUCCUUUGGCCUCAUGCUUUUGGUGAUCAUCACCGGCAAGAGACUGGUCCUCUCCGACGAGCCCGACGAGGUCGACGAGACUCUGGUCUCUUGGGAUCUAUACUAUAAGGACCUGGAGCAUCUAUUCUAAAAUCAUAGCUACAAGUUGUUGCUGUCGAUGGUGCCAUGGUGGUGCACAAUGUCUUUGGACUUCUCUGAGCUGAAGGUUCAUUCAAGAUUAACCAAUGAUUCAUAUUCGCAUAUUCAGAGGAGAGAUACCCAGGUCAAGCUUGCAUGGUCUCUGUUUGUUGUGGCUGCUGACAUGGUCGAUGCUGAACUGGAAUUAACCCUGGUUCCAGCUUAUUUGAACUAUUAUUAUUAUAACAUGUCCUAAUAUCUACCAUUGAACUGGCAACACCAUUGAACUGAUGCUUGCCUACCUAGUGCCAGCGCCAGCGCCAUUUCCAUGUCCACUAUUUAUUAUCUGGUAUAUGACGAUGAGCAGAGUGAAGCCUAGUAUUGGUGCUGCACAUAUAGAUUGCUUGCCACUUUGCUACCUGAAACAGAGCCUCGAUUCCAUUUAGACGCUUUUUUGACUCUUUAUUUAUUAGCGGCCCGUGUAAGAACAAAAAACAUAAAGCUCCAAUUAAGUAUGGUAUUUUGUCUUUGUUUCAUGCUCUUUGUAGCUGACGGAUUAGGCUGUGCUUGGAUGGGCCAUGUUAUAGCUUACAGACAGUCUGCGUACUAACUCAGCCUCCAUAUUACAAGUUUAAAAUAAUUUCUGUGUAGUUCACAAACCUGGGACUAAACAUUUCAUUAUUUUUGCUCCUAACGACUUUUAACUGGACUUUCAGUUUCAAUAUGCCACAUCCUUGUAUAAAACUUAACACUGUCAUGCACCUGUUUGCGCGUAUGCCUAUGAUAGGGUUAGGACCUGCCGCACCUUUAGAAUAAAUACAACUGACAGGAUAAUAUUUCUGUUAAAGUGUUAACAUUGAUAUUUCUGAGCCAUCUUAAACAGUGAGGUGGUCCCCUCCUUGCUUGUCGAGAUCGCCCCCAUCUUCCGUGUCGCCAACGAGGCCGAGGCCAGCGACCCACGAGUCGCCUACCUAUGUACCAGAGGCUGACCAGAUACUCCAUUGACUUCUCUAGCUCCCACAUGUCGCCCCUGGGCUGGAGCGCGCUCGUGGGCGAUCGGCAUCCUCCUGGCGGCGCUGUUCCUCACAAAGUGUUAAGUUCGAUUACUGCCUCAUGUUGAUGGCAUUGUUUCUUUUUGGUGAUCUAAUGUCGCUUAGGUUGCUGCUGCUGUGCUGGAAGCACACCACAACUUUAGUUGAUGUGUAUCUAUUUUUGCUUGUUUUAGUUGAUGUUGGACGUGCAGACUUGUAUGUGCUGUUGUGUGUAUUUGAAUGAAUGAUUUCUGAAUUUAAUCAUUUAAUUGAGAGAAUUAUCGAGUGUUUG
rnacentral:rRNA from 1 species